rnacentral:rRNA from 1 species
AAGCGCUCAUGACCAGACUUGGGCUUGGUUGAUCAUCCAGGGUUCUCCCUGGUGCACUCUUCCAGCCCAGGCCAGCAUCAGUUCGCUGUGGGGGAUAAAGGCUUUGGGAAUGUGGCUCCUCCGGGAGUGUUAUAGCCUGUUGCAUAAUACCCUUCGGCGGGCUGAGGUACGCGCUCCGCAAGGAUGCUGGCGUAAUGGUCAUCAGCGA